GUCGAACGGCAGCACAGCAGUAGCAAUACUGUGGGUGGCGAGUGGCGGACGGGUGAGUAAUGCAUCGGGACCUACCUAGACGUGGGGGAUAACGUAGGGAAACUUACGCUAAUACCGCAUACGUCCUACGGGAGAAAGCAGGGGACCUUCGGGCCUUGCGCGGUUAGACGGACCGAUGUUCGAUUAGCUAGUUGGUAGGGUAAUGGCCUACCAAGGCGACGAUCGAUAGCUGGUCUGAGAGGAUGAUCAGCCACACUGGAACUGAGACACGGUCCAGACUCCUACGGGAGGCAGCAGUGGGGAAUAUUGGACAAUGGGCGCAAGCCUGAUCCAGCAAUGCCGCGUGUGUGAAGAAGGCCUUCGGGUUGUAAAGCACUUUUAUCAGGAGCGAAACGCUGUCGGCUAAUACCCGGCGGAACUGACGGUACCUGAGGAAUAAGCACCGGCUAACUUCGUGCCAGCAGCCGCGGUAAUACGAAGGGUGCAAGCGUUAAUCGGAAUUACUGGGCGUAAAGCGUGCGUAGGCGGUUUGUUAAGUCUGUUGUGAAAUCCCCGGGCUCAACCUGGGAAUGGCAAUGGAUACUGGCAAGCUAGAGUGUGAUAGAGGAUGGUGGAAUUCCCGGUGUAGCGGUGAAAUGCGUAGAGAUCGGGAGGAACAUCAGUGGCGAAGGCGGCCAUCUGGAUCAACACUGACGCUGA
rnacentral:rRNA from 1 species